UACGGAGGGGGCGAGCGUUAUUCGGAAUUAUUGGGCGUAAAGGGCGCGUAGGCGGCGCGGUAUGUCACCUGUGAAAUCUCCUGGCUCAACUGGGAGCUUGCAGGCGAAACUGCCGUGCUGGAGUGUGGGAGAGGUGCGUGGAAUUCCUGGUGUAGCGGUGAAAUGCGUAGAUAUCAGGAGGAACACCUGUGGCGAAAGCGGCGCACUGGACCACAACUGACGCUGAGGCGCGAAAGCUAGGGGAGCAAACAGG
rnacentral:rRNA from 1 species